GGAUAAUGACCAGGAGAUCCGCCGCUGCCAUGGCCCCCAGGUAUCUGUGUUAGCUGUUUGGAUACAGAAUUGGCUGGCCAGCAGAAGACAGCGAGUGGUAGUGGAAGGAAAAUAUUCUGCCUGGAAGUCAGUGAAUCCCUGCAGUGUGGAAACAAACCCUUCGGCCCAACAAGUCCAUACCAACCUUCCAAAGAGUAACUUUCCCAUGCCCUUACAGUUACCACUGACUAGUGCACCUAAAGUAGAAAUCGCUGAACACUAUGGACCA